rnacentral:rRNA from 1 species
CAAAAGCGUAUAUUAAAGUUGUUGCAGUUAAAAAGCUCGUAGUUGAACCUUGGGCUUGGCUGGCCGGUCCAUCUUUUUUGAUGCGUACUGGACCCAGCCGAGCCUUUCCUUCUGGCUAGCCUUUUGGCGAACCAGGACUUUUACUUUGAAAAAAUUAGAGUGUUCAAAGCAGGCCUUUGCUCGAAUAUAUUAGCAUGGAAUAAUAGAAUAGGACGUUAUGGUUCUAUUUUGUUGGUUUCUAGGACCAUCGUAAUGAUUAAUAGGGACGGUCGGGGGUAUCAGUAUUCAGUUGUCAGAGGUGAAAUUCUUGGAUUUACUGAAGACUAACUACUGCGAAGGCAUUUACCAAGGACGUUUUCAUUAA